UACGUAGGGUGCGAGCGUUGUCCGGAAUUAUUGGGCGUAAAGAGCUCGUAGGCGGUGUGUCACGUCGUUCGUGAAAACCUGCAGCUUAACUGUGGGCGUGCGGUCGAUACGGGCAUCACUGGAGUUCGGCAGGGGAGACUGGAAUUCCUGGUGUAGCGGUGAAAUGCGCAGAUAUCAGGAGGAACACCAACGGCGAAGGCAGCUCGCUAGGACGGUACUGACGCUGAGACGCGAAAGCGUGGGGAGCAAACAGG
rnacentral:rRNA from 1 species